UACGAAGGGGGCUAGCGUUGCUCGGAAUCACUGGGCGUAAAGCGCACGUAGGCGGAUCUUUAAGUCAGGGGUGAAAUCCCGGAGCUCAACUCCGGAACUGCCUUUGAUACUGAGGGUCUCGAGUUCGGGAGAGGUGAGUGGAACUGCGAGUGUAGAGGUGAAAUUCGUAGAUAUUCGCAAGAACACCAGUGGCGAAGGCGGCUCACUGGCCCGAUACUGACGCUGAGGUGCGAAAGCGUGGGGAGCAAACAGG
rnacentral:rRNA from 1 species